rnacentral:rRNA from 1 species
AUUGAACGCUGGCGGCAUGCCUUACACAUGCAAGUCGAACGGCAGCACGGGAGCAAUCCUGGUGGCGAGUGGCGAACGGGUGAGUAAUAUAUCGGAACGUGCCCAGUCGUGGGGAUAACGUAGCGAAAGCUACGCUAAUACCGCAUACGAUCUAUGGAUGAAAGCGGGGGAUCGCAAGACCUCGCGCGAUUGGAGCGGCCGAUAUCAGAUUAGGUAGUUGGUGAGGUAAAGGCGUCACCAAGCCGACGAUCUGUAGCUGGUCUGAGAGGAUGACCAGCCACACUGGGACUGAGACACGGCCCAGACUCCUAC